ACAGCAUCAGAUACCUGGGCUACACAUACUGAGACAGAGAGGUGCUGUUUCACUGUCCAGACAGCAUCAGAUACCUGGUCUACACAUACUGAGACAGAGAGGUGCUGUUUCACUGUCCAGACAGCAUCAGAGAGAUGCUGUUUCACUGUCCAGACAGCAUCAGAGAGAUGCUGUUUCACUGUCCAGACAGCAUCAGAGAGAUGCUGUUUCACUGACCAGACAGCAUCAGAUACAUGGUCUACACAUACUGAGACAGAGAGGUGCUGUUUCACUGUCCAGACAGCAUCAGAGAGAUGCUGUUUCACUGUCCAGACAGCAUCAUAUACCUGGUCUACACAUACUGAGACAGAGAGAUGCUGUUUCACUGUCCAGACAGCAUCAGAUACCUGGUCUACACAUACUGAGACAGAGAGGUGCUGUUUCACUGUCCAGACAGCAUCAGAUACCUGGUCUACACAUACUGAGACAGAGAGGUGCUGUUUCACUGUCCAGACAGCAUCAGAGAGAUGCUGUUUCACUGUCCAGACAGCAUCAGAGAGAUGCUGUUUCACUGUCCAGACAGCAUCAUAUACCUGGUAUACACAUACUGAGACAGAGAGAUGCUGUUUCACUGUCCAGACAGCAUCAGAGAG
rnacentral:lncRNA from 1 species